rnacentral:tmRNA from 2 species
GGGGACGUUACGGAUUCGACAGGCACAGUUUGAGCUUGAAUUGCGUUUCGUAGGUUACGUCUACGUUAAAACGUUACAGUUAAAUAUAACUGCUAAAAACGAAAACAACUCUUACGCUUUAGCUGCCUAAAAACAGUUAGCGUAGAUCCUCUCGGCAUCGCCCAUGUGCUCGAGUAAGGGUCUCAAAUUUAGUGGGAUACGUAUCAACUUUCCGUCUGUAAGUUGAUAAAGAGAUUAUCAGACUAGCGAUAUAGAAUGCCUGUCACUCGGCAAGCUAUAAAGCGAAUCUAUAAAUGAGUUGACUAUGAACGUAGAUUUUUAAGUGGCGAUGUGUUUGGACGCGGGUUCGACUCCCGCCGUCUCCAUUG